GUGGGGAAUAUUGCACAAUGGGGGAAACCCUGAUGCAGCGACGCCGCGUGAAGGAAGAAGUAUCUCGGUAUGUAAACUUCUAUCAGCAGGGAAGAUAGUGACGGUACCUGACUAAGAAGCCCCGGCUAACUACGUGCCAGCAGCCGCGGUAAUACGUAGGGGGCAAGCGUUAUCCGGAUUUACUGGGUGUAAAGGGAGCGUAGACGGACUGGCAAGUCUGAUGUGAAAGGCGGGGGCUCAACCCCUGGACUGCAUUGGAAACUGUUAGUCUUGAGUGCCGGAGAGGUAAGCGGAAUUCCUAGUGUAGCGGUGAAAUGCGUAGAUAUUAGGAGGAACACCAGUGGCGAAGGCGGCUUACUGGACGGUAACUGACGUUGAGGCUCGAAAGCGUGGGGAGCAAACAGGAUUAGAUACCCGAGUAGUCC
rnacentral:rRNA from 1 species